rnacentral:rRNA from 1 species
AUUGAACGCUGGCGGCAGGCCUAACACAUGCAAGUCGAACGGAGCGGCGGACGGGUGAGUAAUGACUAGGAAUCUGCCUGGUAGUGGGGGAUAACGUCCGGAAACGGGCGCUAAUACCGCAUACUAUCAGAUGAGCCUAGGUCGGCUUAGCUAGUAGGUGGGGUAACGGAUAACCUAGGCGACGAUCCCUAGCUGGUCUGAGAGGAUGACCAGCCCCUCUGGAACUGAGACACGGUCCAGACUCCGACGGGAGGCAGCAGUGGGUAAUAUUGCACGAGGGGCGCAAGCCUGAUGCAGCCAUGCCGCGUGUAUGAAGAAGGCCUUCGGGUUGUAAAGUACUUUCAGCGGGGAGGCGUUACCCGCAGAAGAAGCACCGGCUAACGCCGUGCCAGCAGCCGCGGUAUUC